rnacentral:rRNA from 1 species
GUUCUCCUACGGGGGGCAGCAGUCGGGAAUAUUGCACAAUGGAGGAAACUCUGAUGCAGUGACACCGCGUAUAGGAAGAAGGUUUUCGGAUUGUAAACUAUUUUAGACAGGGAAGAAAAAAGACAGUACCUGUAGAAUAAGCUCCGGCUAACUACGUGCCAGCAGCCGCGGUAAUACGUAGGGAGCAAGCGUUAUCCGGAUUUAUUGGGUUUAAAGGGUGCGUAGGCGGAACAUUAAGUCAGCGGUAAAAUCGAGGGGCUCAACCCCUUUAAGCCGUUGAAACUGGUGAUCUUGAGUGGGCGAGA